UACGAAGGUGGCAAGCGUUGUUCGGAUUUACUGGGCGUACAGGGUGCGUAGGCGGUUGGAUAAGCCCUCCGUGAAAUCUCCAGGCUUAACCUGGAAAGUGCAGAGGGGACUGUUCAGCUAGAGGAUGGGAGAGGAGCGCGGAAUUCCCGGUGUAGUGGUGAUAUGCGUAGAUAUCGGGAGGAACACCUGUGGCGAAGGCGGCUUUCUGGGCCUUACCUGACGCUGAGACGCGAAAGCGUGGGGAGCGAACCGG
rnacentral:rRNA from 1 species